rnacentral:lncRNA from 1 species
AAUUUAGAGACGAUAAGCAUCAAAAAUGAAUUUUUUAUGGAAUAUUAUUUAGAAGGAUUAAUCUUAACCAAGUUUUAGUAUAUGUCACAAGGUUUCCGUGCAUAUAAAGAAUGCCAAAAUCUGAGUUAUAACGAAGAAGUUAUGACCUGUCGAAGUUUUGCGACAAAACUGACACGACCUAGCGCAACCCAGCGCUACGUAAAUAGUGAAUUUUAGGUUGAUAUAUAUCUAUCCUUAGUGAUCUAAAUGAUAAUUGAAGAUCUCAUCGAUAGUAGUGCAACGAUGGAAAGACAGACGAAAACGGACGUCAGACGAAUGAGUUAUGAGUUUAUAACGGAGUUUUCCUGUCCCGACCUACUAAAAAUAAUAUAUAAGUAAUAUAACUAUAAUAUAUUAAAAAUAAAGUCAAAAAUAUCCAAUGGAGUCUAAACGAGAGUCGUAGACCAUAACCUCACAUUCACGGCGAUAUAAAGAACGUCGAAAACGGAAUUCGUAUGCGAAAGUUAUGAAUUUCUAAAGUUCGGGGCGCGAAACCCCAAAACUGUCAGAGACCACGACGUGGCAAGCAGUGCCACGAUGUGGCAAGUCUCCUGACACCUCCGGGAGUCCCCCAGAUGCAACUUGCGAUGACGCAUGCAGUGACGACCAAGCCCACGACGUGGAAAAAGGUUGUCACGACGUUGCAAGGGCCAAUUUUGCCCUAUAAAUAGAUUUCAAGGCCCAGCCGACUAUGGGUGCUCCAUCCCUUCUCUCCCACUCCCGAUACACCCUAUAAGCCCUAUGUUAACCCCCCGAAGCCCCGAUAUCAACCCCGAGACCCGAAGCAAGUCCCGAAGAUGCCGAAGAGCGUUAUUCCCAAGCCGAAGCUCUACCCGCAAGGAGCCUGGUUUUCGUGAAGAUCUUCCAGAUCUACUGAAGAAUACUACUUCUGCAAGUCGUAGUGCUGUCCGAUCAUCUUUUGAUCAAGUGAUUUUGUGGUCACUUUCUUCUUACACAUAAAUAUUAAGUAUUUGCUAUGAAAUACGUGCUAUGUGUAUAAUAUAAAGUUGUUUAUAUGUGUGGGUGUAUAGUCCCUUUCAUAAACACGAUAAUUAUACAAGUAUUGAUUGAAUGUAUUAAGUAUAUUGUUGUUUAUAUGUGUGAGUGUGUGGUUACUUUCUUCUACCACAUAGAUAUGAAUUAUUUGCUAUGAAAUACGUGCUAUGUGUUUAUAUGUUGUUGGUUUACUUGAGAUGGUUGUUGAAUGAUUGUUUUAUAUAGGUUUUUAAAAUGAUCUAAAUUGUAUAUGUAUGUUAUAUCUCAAAUACGUUUGGUAGAACAUGGGUAGACGGAUUUGUUGGUGUGUGAUGACGGAUGAGCUUGAGGAUGAGACGUAUAUACAAACCUUGGUAGCUAUUGAUUUAGUACCGUAUAGACAAACCUUGGUAGCUAUGGAUUUAGUACCGUAUAGACAAACCUUGGUCGCUAUGGAUUUAGUACCAUAUAGACAAACCUUGGUAGCUAUGGAUUUAGUACUGUAGAGACGAACGUUGGUAGAUAUGGAUUUAGUACUGUUAGAUAGACAGUGAUAGCUAUGGACUUAGUACGUGUUAGAUAAAUGUUGGUAGCUAUAGACUUAGUACCUACACUGGUAGCUAUGGAUUUAGUACCCGAUGAAUGAACCAUAGCAGCUAUGGAAUUAGUGCUUUACGAAGGAACCUUGGCAGCUAGUGUCUUAGUGCCUAAUAAAGAAUCCUGGCAGGUAUUGUCAUAGUGCCUAAUAUGGAGUCAACGAAUAGAUGAUUCUUAGGGUAUACCCUUAACAGUAAGACAGAUAAUGGGGAUGGGUAAUUGGGUUGAUUGUUUGAUAAUUAAAUAUAAUAAUUAUAUUAUUGUGGGUUGAAAAUCCUAUAUGCUCACCAGGCUCCCAAGCCUGACCCACUCAGUUUUCUUUGCAUUACAGGUAAUGGCACAAGAGUAUAAAUUGGUGGACUUGAGGAGAGAUUUUGGAUUAUAGAUCAGUAGUUACAAAUAACUGUUGUAAGGUCUAUUUUAUAUUAUUUAUGGUUUUGGUCUGUAUCGAACUUGACAUCCCGAGGUUUUAUUAUUUAAUAAAAAUACAUUCUCUUUGAGAAACAUUUUGAUAAGUUUUAUCAUAUUUUGUUUUGGGAACAAAUUCCGCAACUCUUUUAAUCAAAAGGAUUUACUCUGAUUUUAUAAAACAAAGCAUAAACAAAUCGGUCUUUUCUGGCCGUGAAAUUGGGGAUGUCACAGUUGGUAUCAGAGCAUUAGUUUAAGCGAACUAGGAAUUUGUAGGCUUUCUAUACUUAAACUUAGAAUGUCUACCAUAUUUUAAGACAGGCGCACUAGUAUAUUUUAGGAUUGAUGCCUAAAAUGCUAAAUGUUAUAUGUUUUCGAUAUAUGCUAUUAUUUGUUCGGAUCUAUGGUCUGUUGUCGAUCGGAUCUGGAAACCUUAUGUGUUUAGGAUUCUAAGCGUACGACUACGGUAUUAGAACUAGCAUGUAAACGUUUCGGAGCGAUAAGGAGAAUUAUAUGUCUAUCAUAAUUAAAGCUUUCUUAUCUUAAAUUCUUGCCCGGUACACCGAACGUCAGCUUGGGUGUACAAAACGUUAUGGUGAAUACUCGUAGAGAAUUGAGUAAAUGGAGGAAAUGAAAGGCUUAUGAUAGUGAAUGACUUCUAUUGGAAGAUAUUGUAAGAGUGGUGUCUUGCCUUUAGUUUAUGUUUGAUAAGAUAUCGUAUGCAGCCAGUUUUACUCGAUUUGAGAUCGAGGGGUUUUUAGCCGAAGCAAUAUAAGCGAGGAUCGAAGGUCUCGUUGUUGGUAUCGAAGCGAUAUAAAAUUAGGUGAGAACGGACGUCAAACGAAGAAGUUAUGAAUUUAUAACGAAGUUUUUCUGUCCCGACCUAUUAAAAAUAAAUAAUAAAAAUAAAGUUAAAAUUAGCCGACGGAGUCUAAACGAAAGUUGUAGAGCGUAGUCUCACCUUCGCGAGGAUAUAAAGAACGUCGAAAACGGAGUUCGUAUGAAGAAGAUAUGAAUUUCCGAAGUUUAUUAAAUAAUUUGUAUUUAAAUUUAAUUGGAAAAUCCGGCAUUAUCCAAAGAGGAGUCAUCGGACUCAUCUGAAGUAUGCCCCGCGUACAUCGAGGUAUGUCGACACUCGCACUCGAGCACUUCGGAUACGUAAGCAGUGACGAUUUCGGAGCUGUACGCCCCGCGUACUGCUGUACGCCCCGCAUACUCCGAGGCUCCAACCUCCUAUAAAUAGGAUGCGAGGGCAGCCAACUCCUUUGCUAUUUUUCUCUCUUCUCUCUCUCAUUUUGCAUCGAUUUGCGUGCUAGAAAUACCCCGAGGCCCCGGUAUUAUUCUCGAGCCCCGAAGCAAGUCUCGAGAUCCCGAAGAUCCCGAGAAGUGCCGUUCCCGAGCUGAAGCUCUGCCUGCGAGAAGUUCGAUUUUUGUAAAGGUCUUCCAGAUCUGCUGAGGAUUUCUACUUCUGCAAGUCGUAGUGCUGUCUGAUCAUCUUCUGAUCAAGUGAGUGUACACUACCUUUCACAAACACGAUAAUAAUACAAGUAUGGUUUGAGUGUAUUAAGUAUAUUGUUGUUUAUACGUGUGAGUGUGUAGUUACUUUCUUCUAACGCAUAAUUAUGAAGUAUUUUAUAUAAAAUACGUGUUAUAUGUAUAUUUUGUUGUUAUGUGUGUGAAUGUAUAUUCACUCUGUUCUAUCUCAUGGAUCUGAUUUGUUUUCUAUGAAAUACGUGUUAUGUGUGUGUGCCUCAUCUGUUAUGUGGAAUAUGUAUUGAUUAAAGCAUGCUAUACAGGUUUUUAAACGAUGUAUAAAAUGUAUAUUUUUAUCUACUAAUAUGUUGGGUAGAACAUGGGUAGAUAGUUGGUGUGUAAUAAACAGAUGAGAGGCCUCGUUGUUGUUUUGAUUCAGUCAUCUAGCGGAGUUUAGAUGACGACCACAGACUUUUCUAGACAGUCUUGUGGAACAUUAGUAGGUUCGCCACNUAGAUCAGGGCUAGUCGAUUUAGAGACGAUAAGCAUCAAAAUGACUUUUUGAUGGAAGAUUAUUUAGAAGGAUUAAUCUUAACCAAGUUGUAGUAUAUGUCACAAGGUUUCCGUGCAUAUAAAGAACGCCAAAAUCUGAGUUAUAACGAAGAAGUUAUGACCUGUCGAAGUUUUGCGACAAAACCGACACGACCUAGCGCGACCCAGCGCUACGUAAAUAGUGAAUUUAAGGUUGAUAUAUAUCUAUCCUUAGUGAUCUAAAUGAGAAUUGAAUAUCUCAUCGAUAGUAGUGCAACGAUGGAAAGACAGACGAAAACGGACGUCAGACGAAGGAGUUAUGAGUUUAUAACGGAGUUUUCCUGUCCCGACCUACUAAAAAUAAUAUAUAAGUAAUAUAACUAUAAUAUAUUAAAAAUAAAGUCAAAAAUAUCCAAUGGAGUCUAAACGAGAGUCGUAGAGCAUAACCUCACCUUCACGGCGAUAUAAAGAACGUCGAAAACGGAAUUCGUAUGCGAAAGUUAUGAAUUUCUAAAGUUCGGGGCGCGAAACCCCAAAACUGUCAGAGACCACGACGUGGCAAGCAGUGCCACGAUGUGGCAAGUCUCCUGACACCUCCGGGAGUCCCCCAGAUG